rnacentral:rRNA from 1 species
AUGGGAACGCGAAGAACCUUACCUAGACUUGACAUCUCCUGAAUAGUGUAGAGAUACAUGAAGCCCUUCGGGGCAGGAAGACAGGUGGUGCAUGGUUGUCGUCAGCUCGUGUCGUGAGAUGUUGGGUUAAGUCCCGCAACGAGCGCAACCCUUAUUACUAGUUGCUAACAUUAAGUUGAGCACUCUAGUGAGACUGCCCGGGUUAACCGGGAGGAAGGUGGGGAUGACGUCAAAUCAUCAUGCCCCUUAUGUCUAGGGCUACACACGUGCUACAAUGGUGGGAACAAAGAGAUGCAAGACCGCGAGGUGGAGCUAAACUCAAAACCCCAUCCCAGUUCGGAUUGCAGGCUGAAACUCGCCUACAUGAAGCUGGAGUUGCUAGUAAUCGCGAAUCAGAAUGUCGCGGUGAAUACGUUCCCGGGUCUUGUACACACCG